AGUCGAAUUGAGAUUUUAACCGUGGGAAAACAUAAACGUAAUGUUUCCACCAUUGAUGUUUGCUGCGUGAAGCAACUGCAAGCUAAGAAACAGGAUGCAAUGGAGUAGUUUAUUGUAGGAGGCUGUACGAGGCGAUGACAACUCACAUGCAUUGUGACGUCGCUUACGUUGUGACGUAAUGCAAAAUUGUUAGAUUAUGAGGGGGCAGACUAGAGUGGCGCAGUGACGCCAAUACAUUGUGACGUAAUGCAAAAACUGCACAUUAUCGUGUGAUAAAGUAUUGUUGGCGCCUUUUAUCUUUCACAAAGCAUCUUAGAAAUUAUGACAUUCUAAAACAUUAUGUAUGCUUUCCAUGAAUAUGCCUCUUUAUCCUUCUGUUACUUGUAUGCAGGAAUGAACCUGCGUAUUCUAACGACACUAGAACAGGUUCGUGCAGAUGUCUCCUACCUUUCCCAGAAAAUGAACAGGGUCUUGGCACGUCUGGAUUCCAUGGAAGGCAUGGGCAAAAAACUUGACAAUCAGUUGCCAUCAGAAAUAUCACUGCCUGUUGAGGAUUUGGAGGCUUUAAACCAAGUUGAGAAGUUGCUCCUAAAUGAAUCUGUGAAAUCUCUGGUGUCCCGGCUAGGACUCAUGGGUGGUGAAACAGUUAAGGAAACAACCAUCCGCGUCAUGGUACAUGCAAUCUCGCAUUAAUUGGCCUUACAGCUUAACUGGAUGGGCAAAGGAGGAAAAACGGCUUUCUCCAAUCUACGUCUGAAAGAUGUUGUGUUCAAUAUCCCAGUCGUUGACACCCAUCCUAGAGGUACAGACACGCCCUGAAGAGAGAUAACACAGCUGCCACUGCUGAACGGGUAAUGUUGUAGAUGGGGCCUUUGGUGUUUUCAAAUCAAGAUUCAGGUACGGAUUACGAGGCACGAGUGACAGGCUAUCGUCCAAGAAAGGUACCAACCAAGGAUUUCGAUCUAUCCAUCACAAGAAAGAAGCGAUUCCGUCGGGUAUCAGAAACUGAUACUGAUGAGGUAAUUACCCGCAAUGAAAAUAGAGACACUACCAACAAACACC